rnacentral:rRNA from 1 species
GAUGAACGCUAGCGGCAGGCUUAAUACAUGCAAGGCGAAGGGGCAGCAAUGUCACUGUCGUACGGGUGCGUAACGCGUAUGCAACCUACCUAUAACUGGGGGAUAGCCCGGGGAAACCCGGAUUAAUACCGCAUAAUACAUGGAUGUAGCAUUACAUUUUUUGUUAAAGAUUUAUUGGUUAUAGAUGGGCAUGCGUUCGAUUAGCUAGUUGGUAUGGGUAACGGCCUACCAAGGCGACGAUCGAUAGGGGAGCUGAGAGGUUGAUCCCCCACACGGGCACUGAGAUACGGGCCCGACUCCUACGGGAGGCAGCAGUAGGGAAUAUUGGGCAAUGGAUGCAAGUCUGACCCAGCCAUGCCGCGUGCCGGAUGAAGGCCCUCAGGGUUGUAAACGGCUUUUAUUCGGGAAGAAGAGCAGGGAUGCGUCCUUGUGUGACGGUACCGAAUGAAUAAGCACCGGCUAACUCCGUG